ACGGGUGAGUAAUGCCUAGGAAUCUGCCUGAUAGUGGGGGAUAACGUUCGGAAACGGACGCUAACACCGCAUACGUCCUACGGGAGAAAGCAGGGGACCUUCGGGCCUUGCACUAUCAGAUGAGCCUAGGUCGGAUUAGCUAGUUGGUGAGGUAAUGGCUCACCAAGGCGACGAUCCGUAACUGGUCUGAGAGGAUGAUCAGUCACACUGGAACUGAGACACGGUCCAGACUCCUACGGGAGGCAGCAGUGGGGAAUAUUGGACAAUGGGCGAAAGCCUGAUCCAGCCAUGCCACGUGUGUGAAGAAGGUCUUCGGAUUGUAAAGCACUUUAAGUUGGGAGGAAGGGCAUUAACCUAAUACGUUAGUGUUUUGACGUUACCGACAGAAUAAGCACCGGCUAACUCUGUGCCAGCAGCCGCGGUAAUACAGAGGGUGCAAGCGUUAAUCGGAAUUACUGGGCGUAAAGCGCGCGUAGGUGGUUUGUUAAGUUGGAUGUGAAAUCCCCGGGCUCAACCUGGGAACUGCAUUCAAAACUGACUGACUAGAGUAUGGUAGAGGGUGGUGGAAUUUCCUGUGUAGCGGUGAA
rnacentral:rRNA from 1 species